GAUGAACGCUGGCGGCGUGCCUAAUACAUGCAAGUAGAACGCUGAAGCUUGGUGCUUGCACCGAGCGGAUGAGUUGCGAACGGGUGAGUAACGCGUAGGUAACCUGCCUGGUAGCGGGGGAUAACUAUUGGAAACGAUAGCUAAUACCGCAUAACAGUAGAUAUUGCAUGAUAUCUGCUUGAAAGGUGCAAAUGCAUCACUACCAGAUGGACCUGCGUUGUAUUAGCUAGUUGGUGAGGUAACGGCUCACCAAGGCGACGAUACAUAGCCGACCUGAGAGGGUGAUCGGCCACACUGGGACUGAGACACGGCCCAGACUCCUACGGGAGGCAGCAGUAGGGAAUCUUCGGCAAUGGGGGGAACCCUGACCGAGCAACGCCGCGUGAGUGAAGAAGGUUGUCGGAUCGUAAAGCUCUGUUGUAAGAGAAGAACGAGUGUGAGAGUGGAAAGUUCACACUGUGACGGUAUCUUACCAGAAAGGGACGGCUAACUACGUG
rnacentral:rRNA from 1 species